rnacentral:rRNA from 1 species
AGGACGAACGCUGGCGGCGUGCUUAACACAUGCAAGUCGAACGAUGAAGCCCAGCUUGCUGGGUGGAUUAGUGGCGAACGGGUGAGUAACACGUGAGUAACCUGCCCUUGACUCUGGGAUAAGCGUUGGAAACGACGUCUAAUACCGGAUACGAGCUUCCACCGCAUGGUGAGUUGCUGGAAAGAAUUUUGGUCAAGGAUGGACUCGCGGCCUAUCAGCUUGUUGGUGAGGUAACGGCUCACCAAGGCGACGACGGGUAGCCGGCCUGAGAGGGUGACCGGCCACACUGGGACUGAGACACGGCCCAGACUCCUACGGGAGGCAGCAGUGGGGAAUAUUGCACAAUGGGCGAAAGCCUGAUGCAGCAACGCCGCGUGAGGGACGACGGCCUUCGGGUUGUAAACCUCUUUUAGCAGGGAAGAAGCGAAAGUGACGGUACCUGCAGAAAAAGCACCGGCUAACUACGUGCCAGCAGCCGCGGUAAUACGUAGGGUGCAAGCGUUGUCCGGAAUUAUUGGGCGUAAGAGCUCGUAGGCGGUUUGUCGCGUCUGCUGUGAAAUCCCGAGGCUCAACCUCGGGUCUGCAGUGGGUACGGGCAGACUAGAGUGCGGUAGGGGAGAUUGGAAUUCCUGGUGUAGCGGUGGAAUGCGCAGAUAUCAGGAGGAACACCGAUGGCGAAGGCAGAUCUCUGGGCCGCUACUGACGCUGAGGAGCGAAAGGGUGGGGAGCAAACAGGCUUAGAUACCCUGGUAGUCCACCCCGUAAACGUUGGGCGCUAGAUGUGGGGACCAUUCCACGGUUUCCGUGUCGUAGCUAACGCAUUAAGCGCCCCGCCUGGGGAGUACGGCCGCAAGGCUAAAACUCAAAGGAAUUGACGGGGGCCCGCACAAGCGGCGGAGCAUGCGGAUUAAUUCGAUGCAACGCGAAGAACCUUACCAAGGCUUGACAUAUACGAGAACGGGCCAGAAAUGGUCAACUCUUUGGACACUCGUAAACAGGUGGUGCAUGGUUGUCGUCAGCUCGUGUCGUGAGAUGUUGGGUUAAGUCCCGCAACGAGCGCAACCCUCGUUCUAUGUUGCCAGCACGUAAUGGUGGGAACUCAUGGGAUACUGCCGGGGUCAACUCGGAGGAAGGUGGGGACGACGUCAAAUCAUCAUGCCCCUUAUGUCUUGGGCUUCACGCAUGCUACAAUGGCCAGUACAAAGGGCUGCAAUACCGUAAGGUGGAGCGAAUCCCAAAAAGCUGGUCCCAGUUCGGAUUGAGGUCUGCAACUCGACCUCAUGAAGUCGGAGUCGCUAGUAAUCGCAGAUCAGCAACGCUGCGGUGAAUACGUUCCCGGGCCUUGUACACACCGCCCGUCAAGUCAUGAAAGUCGGUAACACCCGAAGCCAGUGGCCUAACCGCAAGGAUGGAGCUGUCUAAGGUGGGAUCGGUAAUUAGGACUAA